rnacentral:rRNA from 1 species
UACGUAGGGUGCGAGCGUUGUCCGGAAUUAUUGGGCGUAAAGAGCUCGUAGGUGGUUUGUCGCGUUGUUCGUGAAAACUCACAACUCAAUUGUGGGCGUGCGGGCGAUACGGGCAGACUGGAGUACUGCAGGGGAGACUGGAAUUCCUGGUGUAGCGGUGGAAUGCGCAGAUAUCGGGAGGAACACCGGUGGCGAAGGCGGUUCUCUGGGCCUGUACUGACGCUGAGGAGCGAAAGCGUGGGGAGCGAACAGG